UUGGAGGGCAAGUCUGGUGCCAGCAGCCGCGGUAAUUCCAGCUCCAAUAGCGUAUAUUAAAGUUGUUGCAGUUAAAAAGCUCGUAGUUGAAUUUCGGGGUUCUACCGUUGGUCGGGCUUUGUCUGUACUGGUGUGUAGAAUUUCUACCUUCUGGGGAACCAUCAUGCUAUUAAUUUAGCGUGGUGGGAAACCAGGACCUUUACCUUGAAAAAAUUAGUGUGUUCAAAGCAGGCUUAUGUCUGAAUACAUUAGCGUGGAAUAAUAGAAUAGGACGGUGGUCCUGUUUUGUUGGUUUCUGAAUCACCGUAAUGAUUAAUAGGGAUAGUUGGGGGCAUUAGUAUUCAAUUGUCAGAGGUGAAAUUCUUGGAUUUAUUGAAGACUAACUUCUGCGAAAGCAUUUGCCAAGGAUGUCUUCAUUAAUCAAGAACGAAAGUUAGGGGAUCGAAGACGAUCAGAUACCGUCGUAGUCUUAACCAUAAACUAUGCCGACUAGGGAUCGGACGAUGUUAAUUUUUCUUGACUCGUUCGGCGCCUUACGGGAAAC
rnacentral:rRNA from 1 species